UGUUGGCAUCUUAUGUCAUCAAAGAACAACUUGUUGCAGUGAAAAUCAUCGAAAAGAAACGGGAGAACAUCUUCAAGUUUGUCACGAGAGAGGCAUCAGUUCUUCAGCUUGCCGGCAGAUGCCCAUUUCUAUGCCGGGGAAUGGCAACAUUUCAAACUCAGUCACUCAUGCUGCUAGUGCUGGAGUAUAUCAGUGGUGGCACACUGGAUGACCUCAUAAAGAGCAGAGGACGUCUGACCAGUGACCAAAUACUGUUUUAUUCUUCAGAACUAGCAGUAGGUUUGAAGUUCCUGCAUGCAAACGGGAUCGUGCAUCG